UGGGGAAUAUUGGGCAAUGGGCGAAAGCCUGACCCAGCAACGCCGCGUGAAGGAUGAAGUAUUUCGGUAUGUAAACUUCGAAAGAAUAGGAAGAAUAAAUGACGGUACUAUUUGUAAGGUCCGGCUAACUACGUGCCAGCAGCCGCGGUAAUACGUAGGGACCAAGCGUUGUUCGGAUUUACUGGGCGUAAAGGGCGCGUAGGCGGUGUGUCAAGUCAGUUGUGAAAUCUCCGAGCUUAACUCGGAACGGUCAACUGAUACUGUCACACUAGAGUACAGAAGGGGCAAUCGGAAUUCUUGGUGUAGCGGUGAAAUGCGUAGAUAUCAAGAGGAACACCUGAGGCGAAGGCGGGUUGCUGGGCUGAUACUGACGCUGAGGCGCGAAAGCUAGGGUAGCAAACGGGAUUAGAUACCCCAGUAGUCCCUGAGCGGGCUGGCAAGGCG
rnacentral:rRNA from 1 species